GGUUCAUUCAAAUUUCUGCCCUAUCAACUUUCGAUGGUAGAGUAGUGGUCUACCAUGGUUUCAACGGGUAACGGGGAAUUAGGGUUCUAUUCCGGAGAGGGAGCCUGAGAAACGGCUACCACAUCCAAGGAAGGCAGCAGGCGCGCAAAUUACCCAAUCCCGACCGGGGAGGUAGUGACAAUAAAUACUGAUACAGGGCUCUUUUGGGUCUUGUAAUUGGAAUGAGUACAAUUUAAAUCCCUUAACGAGGAACAAUUGGAGGGCAAGUCUGGUGCCAGCAGCCGCGGUAAUUCCAGCUCCAAUAGCGUAUAUUAAAGUUGUUGCAGUUAAAAAGCUCGUAGUUG
rnacentral:rRNA from 1 species